rnacentral:rRNA from 1 species
GACGAACGCUGGCGGCGUGCCUAAUACAUGCAAGUUGAGCGCUGAAGGUUGGUACUUGUACCAACUGGAUGAGCAGCGAACGGGUGAGUAACGCGUGGGGAAUCUGCCUUUGAGCGGGGGACAACAUUUGGAAACGAAUGCUAAUACCGCAUAAAAACUUUAAACACAAGUUUUAAGUUUGAAAGAUGCAAUUGCAUCACUCAAAGAUGAUCCCGCGUUGUAUUAGCUAGUUGGUGAGGUAAAGGCUCACCAAGGCGAUGAUACAUAGCCGACCUGAGAGGGAGAUCGGGCACAUUGGGAAUGAGAAACGGCCCAAACUCCUACGGGAAGCAGCAGUAGGGAAUCUUCGGCAAUGGACGAAAGUCUGACCGAGCAACGCCGCGUGAGUGAAGAAGGUUUUCGGAUCGUAAAACUCUGUUGGUAGAGAAGAACGUUGAUGAGGGUGGAAAGCUCAUCAAGUGACGGUAACUACACAGAAAGGGACGGCUAACUACGUG